GACGAACGCUGGCGGCGUGCUUAAUACAUGCAAGUCGAACGGAAAGGCCCUGCUUUUGUGGGGUGCUCGAGUGGCGAACGGGUGAGUAAAACGUGAGUAACCUGCCCUUGACUUUGGGAGAACUUCAGGAAAAUCGGGCUAAUAUCGGAUAUGAGAUCCUGCUGCAUGGUGGUGGUUGGAAAGUGUCGGCGGUUGGGGAUGGACUCGCGGCUUAUCAGCGUGUUGGUGGGGUAGUGGCUUACCAAGGCUUUGACGGGUAGCCGGCCUGAGAGGGUGACCGGCCACAUUGGGCCUGCGGUAGGGGCCAGACUCCUACGGGAGGCAGCAGUGGAAAACCUUGCGCAAUGGGCCGAAGCCUGAUACAGCAGUGUCGCGUGCGGGAUGACGGCUUUCGGGUUAUAAACCGCUUUCGCCUGUAACGCAGAGUGAGUGACGGUAAUUGGUCAGGAAGCAACGGCUAACUACGUG
rnacentral:rRNA from 1 species